UGCAGUCGAGCGAAGAGAUGGGAGCUUGCUCCCUGAUCUUAGCGGCGGACGGGUGAGUAACACGUGGGCAACCUGCCCUGCAGACUGGGAUAACUCCGGGAAACCGGAGCUAAUACCGGGUAAUACAUCGCACCGCAUGGUGCAAUGUUGAAAGUUGGCCUUUGGCUAACACUGCAGGAUGGGCCCGCGGCGCAUUAGCUAGUUGGUAAGGUAACGGCUUACCAAGGCGACGAUGCGUAGCCGACCUGAGAGGGUGAUCGGCCACACUGGGACUGAGACACGGCCCAGACUCCUACGGGAGGCAGCAGUAGGGAAUCUUCCGCAAUGGACGAAAGUCUGACGGAGCAACGCCGCGUGAGUGACGAAGGCCUUCGGGUCGUAAAGCUCUGUUGUUAGGGAAGAACAAGUACCGUUCGAAUAGGGCGGUACCUUGACGGUACCUAACCAGAAAGCCACGGCUAACUACGUGCCAGCAGCCGCGGUAAUACGUAGGUGGCAAGCGUUGUCCGGAAUUAUUGGGCGUAAAGCGCGCGCAGGCGGUCUUUUAAGUCUGAUGUGAAAGCCCACGGCUCAACCGUGGAGGGUCAUUGGAAACUGGAGGACUUGAGUGCAGAAGAGGAGAGUGGAAUUCCACGUGUAGCGGUGAAAUGCGUAGAUAUGUGGAGGAACACCAGUGGCGAAGGCGGCUCUCUGGUCUGUAACUGACGCUGAGGCGCGA
rnacentral:rRNA from 2 species